GACAGAGGGUGCAAACGUUGUUCGGAAUUACUGGGCGUAAAGCGCGUGUAGGCUGCUUGGAAAGUCGGAUGUGAAAGCCCUGGGCUCAACCUAGGAAGUGCAUUCGAAACUUCCAAGCUGGAGUGCUGGAGAGGAAGGCGGAAUUCUCGGUGUAGAGGUGAAAUUCGUAGAUAUCGAGAGGAACACCGGUGGCGAAGGCGGCCUUCUGGACAGUAACUGACGCUGAGACGCGAAAGCGUGGGGAGCAAACAGGAUUAGAAACCCCUGUAGUCC
rnacentral:rRNA from 1 species